GACGAACGCUGGCGGCGUGCUUAACACAUGCAAGUCGAACGGAAAGGCCCUGCUCUUGUGGGGUGCUCGAGUGGCGAACGGGUGUGUAACACGUGUGUAACCUGCCCUUGAAUUUGGGAUAAAUUUACGAAACUGGGGAUCAUACCGGAUAGGAGCUCCUGCUGCAUGGUGGGGGUUGGAAAGAUUCGGCUGUUGGGGCUGGAAUCGCGGCUUAUCGGCUUGUUGGUGGGGUAGGUGCUUUCCAAGGUUUUGAAGGGUAGCCGGCAUGGGAGGUUGGCCGGCCACAUGGGGACUGAGGGACGGCCCAGACGCCUACGGGAGGCAACGGUGGGGAAUAUGGCACAGUGGGGCGACGCCUGAUACAGCAACGCUCCGUGCGGAAUAACGGCCUUCGGGGGAUAAACCUCUUUCGCCGGUAACGAAGCGUGAGUGACGGUAAUGAGUAAAAAAGCACCGGCUAACUACGUG
rnacentral:rRNA from 1 species